rnacentral:misc_RNA from 1 species
ACCCUUGUGGAGGAGGACGCCGAAGGUGGGGCUAAUGACUGGGGUGAAGUCGUAACAAGGUAGCCGUACCGGAAGGUGCGGCUGGAUCACCUCCUAACAGGGAGACAACAAAAUGUUUAAUAUUAUUAUUUUGUCACCUUAGGUCGAUCGGUAUCUCACGUUUUUAAUUUAUUAAGAAUUUCAUUUCCUAAGUUUUUCUAGGUCACACCCAUUAUUUUUCCUGGGCCAUUAGCUCAGGUGGUUAGAGCGCACCCCUGAUAAGGGUGAGGUCCCUGGUUCAAGUCCAGGAUGGCCCAUAUCUCUAUGUUGGGGGUAUAGCUCAGUUGGUAGAGCGCCUGCUUUGCAAGCAGGAUGUCAGCGGUUCGAGUCCGCUUACCUCCACUGAUUACCACCUCUUUCAUAACCGGUAAAAAGGAAAUGUUUUGAGUUGUGAUCAAAUUCUGAAAGAAUCUAGCUUCCUAAUGAAAUCAUUAAGAUGCUGGACUCAUUGAAUUAAUUUCAUUGUUUUCAGAGAACCUUGACAACUGCAUAGAUUAUUUUUAAAGACAAUAAGCAUCUUUAAUGAUGCAGAUUUAUUAUUUGUGCGAAUGCAUUAAUAACAAUUCUAUUAAGCUGAUGCUUCAAUUUUUGAAGUUAUUGGUCAAGCUACAAAGGGCUCACGGAGGAUACCUAGGCACACAGAGGCGA